UGAAAGUUCGGUAGCAUGGUUUCAUGUGCUACCUUGUGUGAAGAUAUCAUGAUUUCUGUAAUUUCAGCGUCUCCAUUCACUUUCUCCAUUUCCAAAUCCACGAAGCUCUGUUCGUGUUCGAGGUCUAGGGUUUGGCCCUCUUCUUCACUCAGUCUCCGCUCUCGUAACCGAAAUUCGAAUCUGUUUAGCUCCGCUUCUAUGAGUGAAUCCGCUGAAAGUAAUUCCGCUCCUCCACCGGACGACGGCGUGGAGAAGACAGCCGACGUUUUGAUUCAGUACGUGGUGCUCCGGAGAGAUCUAAUCGAUUCGUGGCCACUUGGAAGCGUCGUAACUCAGGGAUGCCAUGCUUCAGUCUCCGCUGUUUGGUUGAACAAAGACGAUCCCCACACUUCCGAGUACUGUAGUCCACACAAUAUCGAUUCUAUGCAUAAGGUUACUCUUGAGGUGAAGGGAGAAACUCAGAUCGUCAACUUGUCGGAGAAACUAAAAGCAAGUUCAAUCGCCCACAAACUAUGGAUAGAACAACCAGAGAACAUCCCAACAUGUCUUGCAACAAAACCCUACCCCAAAUCUGUUGUAUCAGCAUUUUUUAAAAAACUGAAGCUCUGCAAGUGAUGGAAUAUUGAAUUGUAAAAAUUGACGAGUAAUUUCAUUUGUUAUGCUCCAUUUCUAGUUCAUAUUAAGAUAUGUAUAAUUCUACUUUCGAAGAUAUCCAGGAUUACAAACCGUUUCUGCAGAGAUCAUGCUGCACACGCGAAGUAGCUCAUAAUCAUAAAAGAGACGUGGCAGAAGAAAGGCCAAUAUUUUGGAGCAAUCAAGAACUUGCGUUUGGUUUUCCAGUAAAGGGGGAGGAAGCAGAACCUCCAUUGGCUUUCAACGUCGGUGGCCUGGAUCAUGCCUCCGCAGAAGGGGCAAGCGCCUGGAGCUGGUUGCCUGGACAGCACCCUCUGAUCCUCAUCGCACACGAACACCAAACACAUCUUGUCACCUCCUUCAGUGGUGGACUUGGAAGACUUUAUAGAGAGAGAAAGAAGGAAGUUUCAGGGAAUUUGAGGUUUCUUUGGGGUUUGGCCUGUUAUGGUGGAGAACCGCGUGCAUCUAGAAGAUUCUGACCCACUCCAGAAAGAAGGAGAAGAAAAGUUCUAGAUCCGGAACAAAGUCCAGAUGGGGGAAUUUCGUACACUCGUCUUCACAGUAGGAACUCGUGGAUCUCCAGAUUUUGGAACCUGAUCUCUCCAAAAAACCAGUCUUUGUAGAGCUGACAAUUGUGGUGGAUGGUUUGGCCCCAAAAGAGGAAGACCGGACCGGAGCAUGAGCAGCCCUAUUCCUCGGUUCAGGCGAUCGAAAUGGCUUCCCCAAACGUUGCGUAGCCGGGGGCGGUUUGUCAAAAGAUCUUCUUCUAUUCAAACUAGGCUUGCCCUCGGGUAUCGGUGUAGGGCCUGCAGACUUCUUGAUCGGCUUAAAGUUAUGGUCGUGACGGGAGCUGGCCGUGGAUUUGAGGUAAUUCGGAACAUGUUUCUGAGGGAGGAUUGAAAGAGAAUGAGUAGAAGAAGAAGAUGAUGAUGAUGGUGAAGAAGGAAAGGAAGAUAGCUUUUGAUCAGUGGAGAUGCCUCUUGGAGAUGACUUUGGAGUUCUCUUGGUUGAAGUAUUAACAUUAGGAAUGGUGACAGAACUGGGAGCUGUGAUCUUCCUCUCCUUCCCCAAACCACAGCUUUCUUUCGCUCUACUUGUUGCCAUUCAGCUACCUCGGCUUCGAGAGUUCAAGCAUUACCUACAUUUUCAAUAAGAUCACGAGAUCAGAAGUUCAAAUGUUAACGAGUUUCUGAUGAUCAAAAUGGAGGUUUUAAAACUUUGAUUUUUAGAAGGAGAAUACGGAAGUUGUAUUCAGGUUGUAGAAAAAAUAAAAACGCUUUUAACACACGGGAACGGAUAAGGGUUUCGAAGUGAAAGCAUCCUACGAAAAUAUCGAUACA